rnacentral:rRNA from 1 species
GCCAGACUCCUACGGGAGGCAGCAGUGGGGAAUAUUGCACAAUGGGGGAAACCCUGAUGCGGCGACGCCGCGUGAGUGAGGAAGUAUUUCGGUAUGUAAAGCUCUAUCAGCAGGGAAGAAGAAAUGACGGUACCUGACUAAGAAGCACCGGCUAAAUACGUGCCAGCAGCCGCGGUAAUACGUAUGGUGCAAGCGUUAUCCGGAUUUACUGGGUGUAAAGGGAGCGCAGGCGGUACGGCAAGUCUGAUGUGAAAGCCCGGGGCUCAACCCCGGUACUGCAUUGGAAACUACCGGACUGGAGUGUCGGAGGGGUAAGUGGAAUUCCUAGUGUAGCGGUGAAAUGCGUAGAUAUUAGGAGGAACACCAGUGGCGAAGGCGGCUUACUGGACGAUCACUGACGCUGAGGCCCGAAAGCGUGGGGAGCAAACAGGAUUAGAUACCCCAGUA